rnacentral:rRNA from 1 species
UACGAAGGGGGCUAGCGUUGUUCGGAAUUACUGGGCGUAAAGGGCGCGUAGGCGGUCCUGAUCGUCGGAUGUGAAAGGCCUGGGCUCAACCUGGGAAUGGCAUCCGAUACGGCGGGACUGGAGUGUGGGAGAGGUUGGUGGAAUUCCCAGUGUAGAGGUGAAAUUCGUAGAUAUCAGGAAGAACACCCGUGGCGAAGGCGGGUCUCUGGGCCGAUACUGACGCUGAGGAGCGAAAGCCCAGGGGGAGCAAACGGGG